GCGAUUUUGUUAAUAAAAAAAAUACUUAUAACUUAUGCAAAACCCAAGAGAGGCAUUUAUAUUUAUUUCUUUUGCGUUCAUUUUCAAAUUCGCCGUGCAUAUAUUUUUGUGCAUGGCGCUUGAGAGGGCAUCACGUGACUAAAAACGACCAACCAACGACCUCGCUUCGGCCAUCUUGGCAUCUUCAUCUUGGCGACCUUGCCUUGCCGUGGAUUGUUUUUAGUUGUUUGUAUUAUUUGUGCUUUUUAAGAAUAUUUUUUAAUUCGGAUACUUUUAUAAUAGCUUUAAUAGUAUUAUUAACAUAGUGCAUAAAAUGGUGUCCUGUUUUUAACGCAGUUGGAGUAGCAGAAACAAAUGUAGAUAAAAAAAUCUGCAGGAAUAACGUUUCAAUUAUGACAGAAGCUCCAAACAAAUGACUGAAUGAAAAGCCCUAUUAAAAGCUUUCCAGAAGAUCCUGCGAAGAAGACAUGAAGUAUAGAUCAGAUUUGUUAAUAGAGGAGUAUGUUCAAAACACUUUUUAGAAAAAGAUAUUGACAGAACUUCACUUUCAUCUGUUCGUUUGAGAGACUGUGCUGUUCCAAUAGCUUAUGUCACACAGAAUCAGCUGAGAGAAGUGGUCUACAAAAAACCAGAAAGGAAACGGAAUAUGUGGCUACGAAAAGCAAAAGAAAGGUUUACAAAGCAAAUGUGACACAUUUUUUUAUAAUAUUUAGGAAUGUCAGCAAAUUACAUUAAAAAAUGUAUGUAAAGAUUUUUUGCAAUAAAAAUGUUUAUAUUUA